AGCAGCAUGGUGUAGUGGUUUGAGUGUUAGUUUAUGACUGGAGACCUGGGUUCAAUUCCCAGCUUGGCCG